rnacentral:tRNA from 1 species
GCCCCCGUAGCUCAGUAGGAUAGAGCGACGGAUUCCUAAUCCGCAGGUCGGAGGUUCGACUCCUCUCGGGGGUACCA